rnacentral:tRNA from 1 species
UAAGAUGUAGUUUAAUGAGAAUACUUGUUUUGGGUAUAAGAGGUUUUGUUUAAAACAUUUUAA